AAGGUAUACCAUCACUUGUAUCAAUCUAUGAUUUGGGUUUCACAUAUGGCGAGUUCAAUGGUAGCUCAAUCAGUGUGUUUUCGAGAAAUCCAGUGCUGGAGACAGAACGUGAGCUUGCAGUGGUUGGAGGGAGAGGAAAGUUUAGGUUAGCUCAAGGGUUUGCUCAACUGAAGACUUAUUAUUUUAAUCAGACUUCAGGUGAUGCUAUUGUUG
rnacentral:misc_RNA from 1 species